CCAAUUUAGCCUGGAACUACACUUCCCAGAGGCCACCGGGGCACCUUCGCCUUGCGCUCUGACUGUCCAGGGUGUUGUGAUUUUUAACCUGGCAGCGAACUUUGGAUUUCUGUGAGGAAAAUAAAAUCAGCGCCCGGCCUCAGGCCGAGGUCUUGCAGACUCGGGCGAGCCCCACGGGCUCUGAGUUUCUCUGAAGAGGAACCCCUUAUUUCAAAAAGCAUGGCCCGGCCAAAAGGCCCUUGCAAGAAUCAAGAAGAUGCUCUUGAAUCUCCAGAAUUUUAAUCUCUUUUCUUAAGACAGCAGCCAGACUCAGGUAUUCUGUUGUAGCAACACCAAAUGGAAUAAGA
rnacentral:lncRNA from 1 species